GUCCAAAUGCCUUAAUGCUUCUCUAACUAGGUCUCUACCAAAUGGUUUCAGAGAGCCAGGAACGAUGCUAAAGCUUCCUGAUUCGUGACCCUGGCUAAGCAAAUGUAAUGGCCCCAUUGACUCAUAGCCAUUGGAGAGCUGAGCUUAAGAAUCUUUUGGUGGUCUGGAAACUUGGAAAAAGAAAGGGGCAACGUAUCCCACUUGAGCCAAGGUGUCUCCCCUGCUCUUCCCCAUCUUGAAUGUGGAUGUCAUGGCUGGGAACUCAGCAGCCAACUCGUAAGUGUGGGUAACAAGCAGGGACAAAAGACCACCAGAGUCACAGACACGCAGCUGCGGUGACACCGAGGU
rnacentral:lncRNA from 1 species